rnacentral:tRNA from 1 species
GCCGGGGUGGCCGAGAGGUCCAAGGCGGCGAGCUGCAGACUCGCUUUUACGUGGGUUCAAAUCCCACCCCCGGCU